GUCCACGCCGUAAACGAUGGGCACUAGGUGUGGGAGGUGUCGACUCCUCCCGUGCCGUCGCUAACGCACUAAGUGCCCCGCCUGGGGAGUACGGCCGCAAGGCUAAAACUCAAAGGAAUUGACGGGGGCCCGCACAAGCAGCGGAGCAUGUGGUUUAAUUCGACGCAACGCGAAGAACCUUACCUGGGCUUGACAUGUUGGUGACCGCCGUGGAAACACGGUUUUCCUUCGGGACACCAUCACAGGUGGUGCAUGGCUGUCGU
rnacentral:rRNA from 1 species